GGGAAAAAACGGCACUGCCGCACAUAAUGGAUGGCAACAUGGGUGCAUUUAUAGUCCAUCAUGACAUAAAAAAUCCUCUGCAUGCAACCACGAGGAGAGGGGUAUUUUACUAAGGAGUUUUGUCUAUAUAUUAUAUAAAAUCUACUGUUGGGAAGAGCAGAACCUAAUCCAAAUAAAAAUAAAAAAGCUGUUAAAAGCCAGUUGAAGGUGGUCAACACAAACCAAAUGAAGAUGUUGCACAAUUCCACAAACAAUAAAAAAGAAGAUCAAGUUUUGUGUCCAACACACUUGGAUGAGACGUGCCCGACCCCUGACUUUGUCUACCCUACAUUAAGUUGUGAUGGCACACUUCAUGACAGUAAACAUCGGUAUCAAGAUGGUGUGAUUGAUCUAUACCCUAGAAUAAGCUGUGACACUAUGAGACGGUGACAUAAUGAACAGCCAUCUUCAAGACAACCGAAACAGGCAGAGUAUUGUUUUCUUGUGUAUUGUCAUACACCCAAAGAGGAUUUUUUUGUAAUUGUACAGUUGUGGUGUUAUUCAUUCAUUAAUGUGUCCUUUCUUACCUUAAAUAACUUGUCAUUUUUCACUCCUUUUGUUUUUAAUGUCUAUAUAGUAUUGUCUACAAUCCCAAAUUCUGGAUUGACGAUCCAGUACCAGAAGGCACUCCAAUCCCAGAGAGCAUCCCAUUGUGAGGUAACACAACGAAAAAAUAACAGGAUGGAGACUAACUGAUUCUUCACCUAUGGCCUUAGCUUCAAAUGCAAGAAGUCCAGCAACUGUCUGAGCUGGUGGAUAUUCUAUCAGAGACUGCAUG